UUUUUUCAUCCUCUCAUUUGGGAGGGACAUGGGCUGUCAUCAGUGACUGCCUGGAAUGCGGCGUGGUUGUGUUGUGAUAAGCACUGAUCGACCGACCAUGGUUGUUCUUGU
rnacentral:misc_RNA from 1 species